AGCUUUGCGCAGUGGCAGUAUCGUAGCCAAUGAGGUUUAUCCGAGGCGCGAUUAUUGCUAAUUGAGUAAGUGUCUUUUUCUACUAUAUGCCUACCAUUUUUAUAUUCUUUGAGCACUCUUGAAAGCUUAUUCUGUGCCAAG